GUUUAUAUUGCAGGGUUAAGACUGCCUCUAUUGGUUGUCUACUAGAAAGCCAAUAGAAGAGUUUCCUGCUGUUUCAUGGUUUCUCUGACAUAAUGCUGGACAUCCUCACGCUGUGAAUAACGACAUUCAGCAUCUUCAAAUCCUGGUAAGAAAGGUGAGUGUCUUAAAGAGUUGUUUAACCCUUUAAUUGCCUAGGGAGUAAGAAGGGGGGGAACAGAGGGGCACUAUAGUGUUUGUUUAAUAUAUCCAAGCCCCAGCUUGUGUACUGCUGAAAAAGUAUGAGCUUAAAUAUUUUUCUUUGUGUUGAUAUUAGGAAGCACCUUUUUAGUAGUAGUUUGUGGACAUGAUUCAGAAUUGCUUUCUCCAAGACAAUGUUUUGACAUCCUGUUUUGCUGGAAUUAUUUCAAUCAAAAAUAAUGGCAAUAACUCUGACGUUUCCUCAAUGCUGCAAUGCAGCAAGGGAAAUUACCAUGAUCCAGUAUAAUCUUUCACUGGGUUAUUUUAUGUUAAUCACAACUUUUACAAUUCUGGAUAUAACUGGAACAAGUAAUAUGCCAAAUUUGACUAAAGGUUGAGAGAGGGAGCCCUCAGCUACUUUAGUCACAAAGGUCCUGGUUGUUCAGAUGGCCCUCCUGAAAAGAGGUUUAUCGCUAGUCACAUAUCUGGACCACUGGAUGAUGAAAGCAUCUUCAAAGAACCAACUGGCGAAGGAGAUCAAUACUGUGCUUUUUUAAAAUUUUAUUCUUCUCUACCUUUCCCCUUACAAUGUUUACAAAUCCAUGACUGGAUUAUCAAUUGGGAUAAAUCUCAACUAAUCUCAGUCACAAAACUCGGAGUCUGAUCUUCCAGAGGAAAAGCAGAACAAUUUAAAAAUUUGAUUUUAAAGGGACACCCCAGAACAACUAUUGCUUAAUGUGAUGGAUCUAGUUGCUGUAAUGUGCCCCUGCAGGCUUUUCCGUGUAAACCAUGCCUUUUCAGAGAAAAGGCAGUGUUUAUAUAGGUGCCUAGUAACACCUCAAGUGGUAGUCACUCAGAUGGCCACUGGAGAAGCUGCACUGGCAUUCAGUGGCUCCACGUUCAGCAGGGAGACACUAAAUGCUCACCAGAGAUGCAUUGAUUCCAUUCAUCUCUGAAUACAUUUGUAUUCCUGACAAUAUAAUGUUUAACCCCUUAGUGACUAGACCGCUUUUCAAUUUUCUUGCUGUUUGGGACCAGGACUGUUUUUACAUAUCUGUGGUGUUUUUUACAUAUCUGUGGUGUUUGUGUUUAACUGUCAUUUCCCUCUUACUCAUUUACUGUACCCACACAUAUAGUUUUUCUCACCAUUAAAUGGUCUUUCUGAAGAUACCAUUAUUUUCAUC